rnacentral:rRNA from 1 species
GACGAACGCUGGCGGCGUGCUUAACACAUGCAAGUCGAACGGAAAGGCCCUGCUUUUGUGGGGUGCUCGAGUGGCGAACGGGUGAGUAACACGUGAGUAACCUGCCCUUGACUUUGGGAUAACUUCAGGAAACUGGGGCUAAUACCGGAUAGGAGCUCCUGCUGCAUGGUGGGGGUUGGAAAGUUUCGGCGGUUGGGGAUGGACUCGCGGCUUAUCAGCUUGUUGGUGGGGUAGUGGCUUACCAAGGCUUUGACGGGUAGCCGGCCUGAGAGGGUGACCGGCCACAAUGGGACUGAGAUACGGCCCAGACUGCUACGGGAGGAAGCAGUGGGGAAUAUUCCACAAUGGGCGGAAGCCUGAUGCAGCAACUCCGCGUGCGGGAUGACGACCUUCGGGUUGUAAACCGCUUUCGCCUGUGACGAAGCGUGCGUGACGGUAAUGGGUAAAGAAGCACCGGCUAACUACGUG